GAUGAACGCUGGCGGCGUGCUUAACACAUGCAAGUCGAGCGGAAAUAUGAAAUCUAAGAGCUUCGGCAGGAGGAUUUCAUAUUUUAGCGGCGGACGGGUGAGUAACGUGUGGGCAACCUACCCUGUACUGUGGAAUAAUCACUGGAAACGGUGACUAAUACCACAUGUCAUCACGAGAGGACAUCCUCUUGUGAAAAAAGGAUUUAUUCGGUACAGGAUGGGCCCGCAUCUGAUUAGCUAGUUGGUGAGAUAACAGCCCACCAAGGCAACGAUCAGUAGCCGACCUGAGAGGGUGAUCGGCCACAUUGGGACUGAGACACGGCCCAAACUCCUACGGGAGGCAGCAGUGGGGAAUAUUGCACAAUGGGCGAAAGCCUGAUGCAGCAACGCCGCGUGAAGGAUGAAGGGUUUCGGCUCGUAAACUUCUAUCAACAGGGACGAAAAAAAUGACGGUACCUGAAUAAGAAGCCCCGGCUAACUACGUG
rnacentral:rRNA from 1 species